CGGGCCCGGCAGCGGCGCAGGCGCGGCGGUGGCCGCGGGAUCCCAGCAGGCUCGGGGCGGCGGGACGCGGUGCGGGCCCAGCAUGUCGGAAAAGAAGCAGCCGGUGGAUCUGGGGCUCCUGGAGGAGGACGACGAGUUUGAGGAGUUCCCGGCUGAAGAUUGGACUGGUUUAGAUGAAGAUGAAGAUGCACACGUCUGGGAAGACAAUUGGGAUGACGACAACGUAGAAGAUGAUUUCUCCAAUCAGUUAAGAGCUGAAUUAGAAAAACAUGGAUACAAGAUGGAAACAUCAUAGUUUUUGCAGAAUAUGGAGUGGUUUAACACUGAACUGUGGAUAGACUUUAUUGAGAAAGAAGAAAAGAUGGAAAAUGAGAAGACACACUUAGUUCAUUAUCUGCUUGGAUUUAUUAUUGUUUUGUAUAAAAAAUAAAGUUUUUAAUCUUAGUCUAGUCAUACAUUCAGCCUCUACUCACCUGGUACCUUGUAUUUUGGUUCUGAAAUGCCUUGUGUGGCAGAAUUCACGGACCUGCCUAGAAUGCCACUAAUGGUCUGUCAGUGGCUGAUGCUCUUGCACUAGCUGCUGUCAUGGGGAGCUAAACAGGUAUAACUGGAAUGGAGACCAGUGAAUGUUGCUGUCACAGGAAAUAAAAUACUUGUGUAUUCCAGUUAAAAUGCAGCAGAGAUAGAAAGCAGUUUUAGGGAGUGAUAAAGCUUGUUUUGCCUCAAGAUUUUAUUUCAUAAUGACUUGGGAUUUUUUUCCUAGUCAUUUCAUGUGCGUGCUGGUUUAAUAAAACAAACUUCAAAGUGUCUUGCAACAGCAGAAAUCCCAACUCUCCAAUCUGGUCCUGUCAUUUCUCAGGACUGUUAAAGAGGAGACUUCUCUGGAGGUGAAAGAAGUUCUGUUCUUGCGCUUAUUUAAGCCUAGGAAUCUCUGCUGAAAUUGCCUCCAAUUUGCCAGUUACAGCAGUUCAUCUGUAUCACACAAACAUGCCUGCUGAGAACGGAAAUCAAACUUCCAGCUCAUUUCAUGGAGGCUAACAAAGAUUUGCCAGAAAGAUAUCGCAAUAGUGACUGGAUUCAAUUACUCUCUGAACUAGAAAACAGAAAAUGGAAAUUACCACACCUAUUACCACUUCCAUGAACGCUUCCCAAAGGAGCUGUUAAAACUGGUGUAUGCAAAGACAGAGGGAGAUGGCAGCCAUGGCUCCAAAUUAAAUUAUGUUUUUUUAAAUAAAGGGGCAACUAUAGUUACAUACUUGUGGAAUUUGAAUGAGCUACUUGGUUUUUAGCAGUUCACUAGAGAAACAGAGACUUAAUUGUUACUUAAAGUGAGCUUUCAGAAUAAAGGUAUAGUUGAUGGACAUGCAGUUAUUUAACCUUGUUAACUAAAUAACUGAGUAUCUUAUGUUAUAAUGACAUUUAUUAAUGCAAAAUGCAAAGAAGUUUCCCCUCCCCCGGAUUAUUAGGUGGUACUGUUUUAAUGGUGGAGGCAAGAGAUACUGUGACCCUUACUGCUUACUGAAGAUAGCUGUGUAAAGACUGAGAACUUUCAUUGCCAUCUGAAUGGUUCUGCAAAACUAAAUGUUUCAGAUGGUGUUGGAUGUUGUCAGUUUGUCCAGUUCUGUGCUGCUUGGGAAAAGAAGGGGAGGACUUUUCAAGUAGGCUUGCCCUAGAGUAAUUUAAAUUGUUCACAUUGAGAUGUGUGGCUCAUGCAGCCCACUUCAGUAGAAUACAAAGUCCUGGAGUUCAUAUUUUGACACAUAACAAAUGUAAAAUCUGUGUAUGGAGUGGCAAAUAGCAAUACAGACAUCCUCAGGUUAGUGUUGGGGGUUUUAAGAAAAAAGUAUGUGGAGUACAGUUCUGGGAUUGCUGGUGUUAUUAACACAGAGUACUGGGAAGUUGAGUAAUGCAGCUGACCAAAAGAAGAUGACAAAGUAAUUGUGGAGAUGUCUGGUGCAAUCUGGAUAGGGACAGCUGCUUUCCAUUACAGGGCUCUGGAAACCUGACUAAAGCAGCCUUAUCCCAUUGAUUGCAAGCAGCAGGAGGAAGCCAUGGAGAUGGAAAAGCAUCUUUGCCUCAAGAAGGCUUUGUUUUUGCUGAGCCUCAGUUGUAUUAGUAUCUUUAUCUUUCCCUCUUUUUUCACAAAAGCAGAAUUGAAAGGGAAGCCUAGGCUGAGGUAGUGGCGCUGCACUCUUGCAGUAUUAACCUUGAGCUGCUGCGUCAUGAUACGAAACCCCCAGCUGGAAAAAAAGGAGAGCAAUCUGCUGUGAAGUGAACUCAAGGCUCUUAAUGAAAAGGAACAGGCACUGGUCUGGAUUUACACUGCACCUGAUGGAGGCGAGGCAGCUCGGUGACUCACCCGGGAGGCAAAACCAGCCCUGCCAAUGCUCCAGCCGCUUCACCUGCCUUGGGUCCCUCCUGCCAUGAGCAAAAUAAAAGCCCUUCCUUCACGCAGGAGCUGGUAGUGUGUAAGAUGUAAAAGGCAAGAUAGGGCUGCUGGGGAAGGUGGGCAAUGGGCUGUGUUUCCCCUCCUCGUGGUAUUGGUUUGCAGUGUCCAAAUAGGAUGUGGUGGAACUGUACAAUGCAAGCCUCUAACAAAGAUUGACACGAGGAAUUGUCCCAGUCACCGGGCUGUUCAGUGAUACUGUCCAGCUGGCAGUAAUGUUUGGACCCUGUUUUUCAAGACUUGGGUAACAAACUGAUGCUAUCAGCUACUUCUCCCUCAGGGAAAGCAGUGGGGUGGCUGGGUGGUAACAGCAUAUCCGGAAAACAAAGGUGCAAUCAUUCUGGUCGUGCUCAGCUCGGUACUGCUUUCUUACGCCAAAAGAUCUGGUUCAGGCCAGAAAUGCACAAAGAAGCGUAAGCUCUGGAAGAAGAGCUUGGUCAAUCUUACUCUGAAGUAUUUAAGAUGUUAGCUUUCCUCCUCCCUUCCCAAGCUGCCUGUUGUGCCCUCUGUGCAGGUGAGUGUGAGCUGGCAGAGCUGAGACCCAAGCACAUUUUCUUUUUGGCUGGCAGUUAGCCAUGGAGGAGGAUCCCAGAAGGACAUGAGGGCAAAAAGGAAACCAUGGCAGCAAGAUAAAAAAAACACCUGUUUUCUGUCUGAAGGUUAAAAUGGGAAAGGGUAAAAAUCCCUCCUGAGCAGAAAGCAGCAUCUGAGAGGGUAUGUGAACACAUCACGGGUUGAAUCACUGUAAAGGGCAAUUCACUCCAAAUUAUACAUGUGAAAUGGCAAGACCUCUAAUGUAACAAGUCACAUAGAUGGAUCCAUUUCAAGACUAUUGCUUCAGUGGCUUUUUAGGGUAUAUUAUUUUCUUUUUGUUCCUGGGACAUAUUAAAAUUGCAGAGGGUGCUGUGCAAAGCAGACUUUAUCUAACUGGUAGGACCUCAGUUCUCUGGGUCUCCUGCUACAGGACCCAGCUCCUGAGUGCUCAGUGCUGCAACCAGAUGUGGGUUUUCAGAGCCAGGUUCCAGCUGCAGCUGACCCCUGGUACCUCAGAAGAGAAAUGGGCUGUGCAGAGAUGGCAGCAAGAUGGGUACUACUAUGUGUUGGCUACAGGGAGCCUCAGCUUCGGCCUAGGAAUGUGGCUUUCUCCCAGCCUUUGACGUGACAUUUCACAGAUGAAGUAUUAGCUGCUAAGAAAUUUAAGGGAUUUCACUAAAAUGUGCACUGGAUUCUGUUCCUUGCUCUGCUACUCUAUGAUCAAUGUCCAUUAGAAGAGAGAGCAAAGUAAUGUUUCAUUGCCUGUGAGCAUAAGUAAGAUUACAAUGGUACUGUACAUGUCUCCCAGGAUGUCAUUUCUAGGCAUUUCUAGGCUGAAGCUUGCCUCAUCAGAGCCUGUCUGCUCCCUUUGUAGGUGCUUGCUGUCUGUACCACAAAGAGGGUCUGGCAUGGGGUGAGCUAGCCUUAGAGGAAUUAUAGCAGUUUAAAAAGUAGUUAAGAGUAAUAAAGCCAAUGAGUAGAGAUUUGAUUGCAACUUGAUGGAGCUGCCGAAACUUCAUGACUCAUCUUAAAUAGAGUAUAUAUAUUACAUUUAUAAAUAGGCUUCUUUAUUUUUGUGGUUCCUGUGGAAUAUUUAGCAAUUGCUGUUCUUUUUAAAAAUAACUUUGAUGUUACACAGAUAUCUAGGGCUUGCAGGUUGUGUUGUUUAUUGAGAAAACACACCCUUUAGCAGUAGCCUUCUGUCAGAACAGGCAUGCUUGGUGCUUUUACAAGCACAGCAUCAGGCAUGGCCUUCCCACCUUGAGACUGCCAGUGAGACUGAAACAACGCACAGGAUAUUCUGCAGGAGAGGAUGGAGCGGGUCGUGAUGGCCAUUCAUAAAAAACCACAAAUAGUGGAUGCUCGGGGUCGGGUAGAAGGAAUUAUAGAGGAGUCUCCUGAGUGAAGACGUUAGGAGGAAGCAAGGGACACUGGCUCUGCUUCAGUGGAUAAAAUGGACUGGAUCCAGGUUGCAUCUGCAUUGAAAAGGCUGAUGUGAAAUGAGCUCUCUUCCUAACCUGAAGAACACCAUACCUGAAAGGCAUAGGGAACUUGGUCAGUUUGUUUCAUCUAGGAGACAGUUGAAUGGUGAUUUUAUGGCAGUUCUCAAGCUCCUUUAUGAAGAAAAUUGUCCCAUAAGGAGAUAGGUUUUUUAACCUCAGUAUAAAUGUAGAGCAAGACUGAGAAACUGGAAGCUCAAGUUAGACAAAUCUGUGUUGUACAUUUUUGCAGCAGGUUCUGAACUGAACCUCUCUCAAAUUAAGUGGUCUGCCCGCCAUGGAACUGGUAAUCAAGAUUCUUCUUGAUGCUUUGUGAUGGCUGAGAGAGAGUUGGUAUAGAUGCAAUGCAGGAAUGGCAGGAUGCAAAUACGGAUAUGUUAAAGGGGAGAAGGACAGACGAGUGUUUCUGUCUUUCCUCACCAUAGCUUUCCUGUUUUCCUUUUGCUCAGCACUGCAGUGAUUUUUGCUGUGCAUUAAUGGUGUGUGACGUGAGUCUCAUGUUGUGCCAUCUCUAACCUCUUCCAUGACAGAAGGCACUAAGUCAGGCAGUUUGCCUCCCAGGUCUUUGCCUCUUCCUGGUUUUGCUUCCUUGAUGUCCAAGGGUGUUUGUCAAUUUCAUAUUAAUGUGGGAUCAGAACCUGGAGACUUAGAACAUGAGGAAAAAAUGAUCUUGCAGCCAUGGAUGCAAGGAAUCACCACAGGGUUGUUUGUGGUGUAUACGGAGCUGUUCCUCAGGCCCCACUGAACCGCUGGGUCCUUCUGUGUAUGAGGGCUAUGGGUGUCCUUUCCCUCUUCCUUCAGAAGGCUGCAGAGAGAGAGAUUCAAAUACAAGGUCUUAACUAGAUUCAAAUUCCAUACAAAGUUUCAAAAUACUGAGCAAGAUGUACAAAUUCUCAAAUUUCAAGGAGUUGGAGUCCAGUGGUUGCAGUCCAUCCUGCUGGAACCAUAUUGUGGGCUUCAGCUCUGUGAAUUGGGAUCAUAAAUUGAUUUUUCCCUUAGGAAGUCAUAUUAGCAAGAGCACUCAGGGGGCUUCCUCCUCGGUUUUGCUGAAGGCAGUUCCAGUAGGUGGAAGAGUCUCAUACUGGGCUCACCUUUGCCAUUCCCACAAAGAUUUUGAAAGCAAGAGAAGGGGUCAAGGAAGAACCAUGGAACUAACUCAAAAGAGAUUCCCCACAGUAAAACUAUUGCGUGUAUUGACAACAUAGCACAGAGUUGUCACAGAACAAAACUGCCUUAAUGUAGUGAAGGUGCCACAUGCCUGAAGAGCAGCUGUGAGAGGUCAGACCAGAGGCUCUGUGCCCAGAGGUGUCGGCUGUGGGGAGAGUCUGGUUGGGAGGAGUAUCCCUACAGCCAAAACUGCCCCUCAGAGACAUGCCACUCGUGCUGGUAGCAGGUAGACACAGGUGCCCUGUUUUGAGUGGGGAAAUGGUUAUGGAGUAGUGUUUUUGCCUUCAUGUGUGGAUAUGUCCAUGGUGCAAGCUGGUGACUUUUACAGCUAUGAGUGACAAGUAACAGUGAUCGUUUGAGGCACUUCAGCAUCAGCUCUGUCCUGAGUACCGUUAAUCCUCACCACAGAUUGCUCUUACUGAAGCUUCAAGCGAUUGGAGAGACUGCCCAAUGUUCAUGAAAGAAGUUGAACCUCUUUAAUCUACCUCUGGACUAUCUUGAAAACAAAUAUAUUGAUUCAUUUGGGAGGGGAUGGGGUAAGUCAAAUAUUGUUUUAGUGAGUUUGAAAAAGGAAAAAUGUAAUUGUAGAGACAGCAAGAGAGAUGUGAAAAUGCAAAAGAGGUAAACCCCUCAACAGCCACUGAACUGAAGAGGGUAAGAAAGAUUGAAUCCAGGCUGUGGUCACCUCAGAGGCAAAGGAUCCAGUGUUCCCAGGGAGGGACAUGUUGCAUCAGGAUGAGCACUUGUGCCUGCUCCCUGUGCCUGAGUGCUGUGUUUCACCAGUGCCUGGUAGGCAGAGCGGCACCAGGGCCUGGGCUGUGCCUCUCUGUGUCAACAUACCUGUUUUAGAAAGUGAUGGCAAGCUCCCAGUUGGAUGUCCUUUGUGGAGAAACCUUCCCAUGGGUAGAUACUCCUCCUUCAGGAGGAUGUUCUGGUUUUGCUUGCUCUGAAAUGUUGGAAAUAGUUGCUGGUUUUCCAAAGACACCUUGUUGCGCAAGCUGUUGCGUGUCCCCACCUGGGCACACCCUGUGGCGUUAGCCACAAGGUCUCUGGACAGAAAUGAUUGUUUUUCAGAAAGUCUUUCAUUCCUGAAGCCAAGAGUCUCUGCAGGAAUGUAUCUUUUUGAGCUACAUUCAGAUCUGAGAUCAGGAUAAACACAGAAGAGAGCAGGAGACUACAGGGAUACUGACAACUCCUUAUCCAAUAGUAGGGAGUAGCUGGGUGGGUGGUGGUCCCCUUCCACACCCCUACCUACCACCCACCAGUGGAGGAUCUUUGCUCUGGGUGUAGGAGUGGCAGCCAGAGCCACCAGUGAUUUGCCAGGCAGGGUCUUUGUCACUUGUCAUGCAGAGUUUCAGGAGCUCCUGGGUUUAUGUUGAAGAAAUGGAAAUUCCACGCACCCCCCCCUCCUGCCCCCCCACCACCUAGUCACCUAUUUCUGCUGUUCUAAGGAAUUCACAGUCUGAGACCCUGUUGGUCAUUUUUAUGUGGUAAAGUUUGCUGAAUUUAUAGCAGCACUGUUCUCACUAUGUUCAAUCACCCAACACUUAUGUAUCUGAAAUUUGUACCUUCUCAUAAAAGAUGCCUCAUUUUCUGCUUUCUUCUGCCAAAACAGUCUUGCUCAGGUUGCCAGAACUGUCUUUUAAUAGGGUUUCAGACCACAGGAGAGGUUUGAUCUCAGUGCAACCCAAAUGGGUCCAUAUAUUGUUACACCUCCCAUGGACCCUACAUCUUCCAAUCUGCCAUUUGUCCUUCCACUUCCAUCAGGGAAUGUGGUACAUGUAAUUGCCCACAGAUUUUUCAUUCCUAGCGUGCAAAUUAAAAACUAUCCCCUGCUCAGAAAUGGGGGAAAUUAUGGGAAGGGGUGUUGGGCUGGAGGAAGGUGCACAGAGCUCCAGGACACCAAAGAGUAAAGGGGAACUGUGGGCUCCCCUCAGCUGCCAUCUCAGAGGGGGUGAAGGUGUUGGGAUGGGAAGAAGAGACAUUGGCUUCUCAGCAGGGUUAGCACUAUGACAACAUGUACACCACUUUCAAUAUUCCGCUUUACUACUACCACUGUCACGCUUACCAUUUGCAAAUAAGGAAAUCACACACUAUUAAUGAUCAGAAGAAAUUCCUAUGAGACUUUCUGAAUAAAGUGGUCUUUUGUGUUAUUGGAGGCCAAUGUUCCCUUGCAUACUCACCCAUUGCUUCAAUGGCUUUGAAGUCACAUUUCUGUUUCAAUUGACAUAAAACUGACCAAAGGCAAUAUUAUAGUCACAGGCCUGUGUUUAGUUUCAUUGGGUAUGCAUUAACAUUUCAUGGAGGUAAAACUGCCUAAAAAUCACUUGGUGAUCACCAGUGCAAUGCUCAAAUAAGAUUGUGAAGUCACAAGGUGGAAAUUCACAUUCCUAUUAAUGAGAUGGAAGUUGAGUAACAGCAAAGGGAAUGUCCAUAAAACAGGAGGUGUGCAGAGCUGCAUUAUUAUAAGGGCCAUCGAAUCACACAUACGGUGUCAGGGAGUUGGCACUGCUGAUUUUGCUGAAAACUCAGCAAUUUAAGUAACCUAAUCAAGUGUCAUAAUUAAUUGGAGGUUCAUUUCCUCUCUUGGAAAACGUUACUGGUAGUCAUUGCUUGCUAAAAACAAAUUAACUCUCCCCACAGUGGAAUGAGGGUGUUUCUCCCUCUUGCCAACAGAAAGCCAUUGGCAGCAUGCAUCCAGGGGGCACAGUGGGCAGCCAUUCAGUCCUUAAAAAGGGGUGCAAUGCACUCACACACAGAGGGACCCCCGUCGAGAGGAUGCUGGGGCUUUCAUGACAGCUUCACCAUCCAUUAACGAGCUGCCCUCGAUGCCAGAGGGGCAUGUGUGUUGGGAAGUGGUGUUGUGUGAUGUUGCUUUCUUCUUUGUUGCAUCUAUGUGUUACAAAGAAGUCUGAGUGCAGAGGUGCUCAGGUGUGCCCCUUGCACAGGUGGCAUUCAUGGCUGGUGUGAGGUCACCUCUCGCUUGCCAAAGUGCAACCAACACUCUCUGUGGAAGAGUGCAGCUCCAGCAAAGGGGAUCACCUCUGCAAAUGCCAUAUCCAGAUCACAGGCAAGUCCAGUGGUGUUAAACACUUCCCGUUUCGCACUCAGAGAGCAAAGCAUUGCUUCUUUAAUGCGUUUUGAAAUAACCUUUUUUGGAUUAGCCCAUACAAGAGAUAACACUAUCUCUUAAAGUUUGGCAAAAGGAGUAUCUCAGUUCAUAGGAAAAGGUUUUGUAAUUUUAUUUUAAGAAACACUUGGAAGAUAGUCAAUUUUAUUUUUGAAAGAAAUGUAAGCAAUGUUAAAAAGCUGUCAUUUCUGUAAAUCAGAAUUUCUGACCUCCAAACACACAAUAUGGUCUUCAGUGAGCAGAUUUCUGUGGGCUCUGCAGAAGUACUUUCACCAGGUAGCUCUAUUAUUGUGCCAACUUAGUGUAAUCAUUGUAAUCAGCCAAACCAGUUACAGAGUAGCAGCCUACUAUACACAUAAUAUUCUAGGUGUAUAUUAAGGAUGUUCUGUUAAAAUUGGUAAAAGUCCUUUAGCAAGAAGAAAAGCCGUCAUCACUAUUUUUUUGUGUGUGUGUUUCAUUUUAGUGAGGACUUAAAUAUAGCAGCAUUUAUAUUUUUCACCUUGGAAAAUAUUUGUACUCUAAAAUAACGCAUUAAGGCUUCGAGCUUGAAAACA